GUUUGAUUCUGGCUCAGGAUUAACACUGGCGGUAUGCCUAAUACAUGCAAGUCGAACGGAAUUGAUCUUUCGGGAUUGAUUUAGUGGCGAACGGGUGAGUAACACGUGCUUAAUCUACCCUUAAAUCAGGAAUACGUACUGGAAACGGUAAAUAAUACCUGAUGUGUUUUUUAAAACGCAUGUUUUAAAAAACAAAGCAACUUCUGGUUGUGUUUAAGGAUGAGAGCGCGUCGCAUUAGAUUGUUGGUGGGGUAACGGCCUACCAAGUUAAUGAUGCGUAGCUGAACUGAGAGGUUGAACAGCCACACUGGGAUUGAGAUACGGCCCAGACUCCUACGGGAGGCAGCAGUAAGGAAUUUUUCACAAUGGGCGCAAGCCUGAUGAAGCAAUACCGCGUGAUUGAUGAAGGUUUUCGGAUCGUAAAAAUCUGUGGUAAAGAAAGAAAAUCAAUUUGAAGAAAAGCGAGUUGAUUUGACGGUACUUUACUAGAAAGUCACGACUAAUUACGUGC
rnacentral:rRNA from 1 species